AAAGAAAGAAAGAAAAAGAAAAGAAAGAGAAAGAAAAGAAAAAAGAAAAGAGAAGAAAAGAAAAAAGAUGACAGAGGAAACACCCUGGAGCCGAUUGGUUGCCUGGCCUUGGUGGAAGUCGCUGCACAUCUGUGCUCCAUCUGUCAGAUGUUAUGGCAGUGUUCAAUGUGUCCAACAAUUGUGUCCUGAGGCUCCAGUAGCCUCCAUCACAUAAGCCAAGUGGACGCUGGGCAGUCAUUCUCCAGAACUCACUAGACAUGCUGUCUUACCUUGGGAUUUCUAGACACAUUUGUAUGUAUGGGAGAACAUACCAUCACUCCAAACAUGAGGAGAAAUCCCAACACUGCAACCUCAGUGAUAAGUCCCCAGCCAGGUCCUUGGAGUUGUCAUGGAAACACGUGUAGUGCCUGCCAUCUGAGUACCUGGGUGUUACUCUGGAUGCUUUCACUGGGGAGCUAAGCCCGAGACCACCUCAGUUGUGCUUCACCAGCUCUUUCAUUUUCUUUGAGCAGUCUGAUUAUUUUUGUUGUUGUUUGCUAACAUGUGGGCUUUGCCCACUAUCUAAUUAUUACAUUCCAUCAUUACAGAGGGUGAGUCUGGACUAGCUAUUUGAAUGAAAGGCAAUGUUUUAUACUGACAUUUUAAUCAGUGGAACUUUCUGUCAUAAAAUCUCUAUGAGACAGUCAUGAUUUUCUAAAACUAAUAUACAUCUUUUGUACAGCCUGGCAUCUGUGUAUAAUUGACCGAUUUAUUAGAUGUUUGUGGUUCAUUGAUUUUCUAGACAGAAAAAAAAUUGGCUUGCAGUUUCUAACUGCUGUUUUCCUCAAAUUGAUCAUGUUGGCUCUCAUAAAUGUUCCCUUUGUGCUCAUGUUCUUACUGUUGCAAAAAAGAAACUGUAUUAUAUGCAGUGUGGUGUCACUGGCCUUGGAUUUAGAGUCGGAGUUUUUUUUUCUUCCUCCUGCAGAAACUAGCUCUUUUUUUGUUGUUGCCAAGUCUUUUAAAGACAGUUUUAUUCAGAGAAAUUUUCCUUACAAAAGGCUGCUUCUUCUCUGAGUAUACAUCUCUUCAGUUUAGCAUUAUUCCUAUAAGGGAAAUUUUCUGAAAGCUACUUUGCUUGAUUUACAAGGAUGCCAAAAAAAUAGAAUUAUUGACAAUUGAUCUCGAGAUGAUAUCCAAGACAAAGAUAACUUUCAGAAAAUUUUUCUUGAUGCUAUUGCUGAUAAUGACAUUUCUGGCUUAGAUGGGAGUUUUACAAAAAGUAGCCACAGUGUUAAAGCAUCAGUACACAAAAUGAUUAAAAGCUAAUAGUUGUCUCUGUUUCCUUGCAUAAAAUAUGAUGCAACAUAUGGGGUGAGGCAAGCCAUGUUUAAUAGACAUCAGUUUAGAAUUAUUGACCGUUUUUGGAUGCAUGGGAAAAAAAAGCUAGAAGUAAAAAGAAACAAGGAGAAAAGAGAAACAGAGGAAAAUACUUUUUAAUUCAUUCGAUGAACCAGCCUAACCUUAAUGCCAAAACCAGAUUAAGGCAUUACAGGAAAGGAAAACAAUAGACUAGUAUCUCUCAGGAAAGUGGAUGCAAAAAUCGUCAACAAAAUAUUAGUAAAUUGAAUCCAACAAUAUAUAAAACAAACAAUACACCAUAACCAAAUGGGAUUUACUCCAGAUAUGCAGGACUAGUUCAAUGUUUGAAAAUCAUAAUGUAUUCAAUCACAACAACAGGCUAAAGAAGAAAAAUUAUAUGAUCAUAUCAAUAGAUGAAGAAAAAGCAUUUAACAAAAUCCACCAUCCACUUAUGGUAAAAACUCCAAGCAAACUAGGAAUAGAGGGAAAUUUUCUCAAACUGAUAAAGGACAUGUACAAAAAAUCUACAGCUAACUUCAUACUUAAUGAAGAGAAACUAGAUGCUUUCCUUUUAAUUUAGGAAGGCAAGGAUACCUGCUCUCACCAGUCUUAUUUUAGAUCAUACUGGAAGUCCUAACUAGUGCAAUAAGACAAGAAAAAGAAAUUAAAAGCAUACAGAUUGGGAAGAAAGAAAUAAAGCUGUCUUCAUAUAUAGAUGGUAUGAUUGUCUGUGUAGAAAAUCCGAAAGAAUCAGCAACAACAAAAAUCCCCUUCUGGAAUUAGUAAGCUAUUAUGGAAAUGUUGGCAGAUACAAGAUUAAUAUUUAAAAGUUAAUUGUUUUCUUACAUAUCAACAAUGAACAACUGGAAUUUGAAAUUAAGAAAUAAUGCCAUUUACAUUCACACUGAAGAAUUGGUAUAAAUCUAACAAAAUAUGUAUAAGAUUUAUAUGAUAAAAGCUAUAAACCGCUGAUGAAAGAAACCAAAGAAUAUAUAAAUAAAUGGAGAGAUACACCAUGGACAUAGAUAAGAUUUAAUAUUGUCAAAUAUCCCUUCUUCCCAACUGGAUCUAUAGAUUAAAUGAAAUUCCAAUCCAAAUACCAGUAAAGAUUUAAAAAUUUUUUUUAAUUUUGACAAACUAGUUCUAAAGUUUGUAUGGAAAGGCAAAAGACCCAGAAUAGCCAACCCAGUAUUGGGUUUCAUUAAGUAAGAAAGAAAAGAAUACAAUCAGAGGCCUUACACUAUCCAACUCCAGGAAGUACUAUAAAGCUACAAUAAUCAAGACAGCAUGGUAUUGGUAAAAGAAUAGACAGAUAAGUGGAGCAGAAUACAGAGCCUAGAAAUAGAUCCACACAAAUAAGGCCAACUGAUACUUGAUGAAUGAGAAAAGUCAAUUUAGUGGAAAAAAGAUAGUCUUUUCCACAAAUGGUGUGUGGGAGUGGGGGAGGUGAAUAUAGGAGUUCUGUAUUUUCUGCCCAGUUUUUCUGUAAGCCUAAAAUUGCUAAAAGAAAUGGAGUCUAUUAAUUUUUUAAAAAUCGAUUCCAAAGAAAGGGUAAAGGGAGAGAUAUAAUCAUAUAACCAUAUAAACUUUGGGGUAAGACAGAAGCUUUGACAUUAAACACAUGAACACACUAGAAGAGGCUUAAAUACAUGAAUAAAAUUACUAGGAACAUCUAUAUUUUGUAGUUAAUUGGGUCAAACCCCAAAAUGGCAGGAAAAGAAGCAGCCAGAAAGGAAAAUAACACACCCACUCAAAAUAAAAGAAAAAUAACAACCACUACAAGGCAAUCAAAUGAGUAUUCUAAAGGGCCAUGAUAUAAGCAAAAACACAAAUAACUCUUAAAAAAAUCACCCUCACUGAGACUGUGUACAAGCUGGGUCAACAGCCCACUAUACAGGUGUCCUGUGAACACCAAUUACAGCAGCCCUUUCCAGCUCAGGGGAUGUUUCCUGAGCCUUUGCCUCAAUCUCAGUAGAGUAUUUGAAAACCUAGAGGACUCCGGAGCCAGACAGAGCAUGUUCCAAGUCUGGAUUCCCAUGUACUAAUGGAUGCUCUUGGGCAGAAAAUAACCUCUCAAAGACUGUAAACCAGGGCAGUCAAGCAGAGACUUGGCGUCCAGGCCCUCUGGUCACACUGCAUGGGUCAAAUUCUAGUUGUCUCUCCAUGGAGGUGAGACCAUGAGAAUCCAAUGAGAAAAUAAAUGUGCAUUUUGGCCGUUCAUCUGAUCUGGUUUCUACUCCAUUGCUUACCACAUAGAUUCUUUCUCUGGUUGGCCCCCUUGCAUUGUCAGUUCAAUUGGACAAGACAGAUGAUAUUAUUUUGGUUUCACACCCAGGAUGCUGCCUCUUGUCUCUCUUUCUUCCUUUCAUACAAUGCUGCUUCUGUCUCCUGCCCAGGUCUCCGGGUCUCCGAAUUCCAGCCAAGAAUCAGUGUGCUGAUGCUGCUUGCUUUGAAAAGGAGAGUAGCCCCUGUGACCUGAACCUAACACACCAGAAUCAAUGCAGCAUCAUUGUAUCUGCAAGAUUAGGGUAACAAUUAUUUACAAGUCAAUGGGAAAAGAUAAAGAAAACAUUCUCUAUGUAGUGGCAAUGUGGAAAUUCAAACAAAAUGAAAAUGAAACUAACUUAUUUGCACAAAUAAGAAGCCCUAGGUGGUUACUGACAGGCAGCUAUGUAGGUCAUGACAUAGGCAAUGAGUAUUGAACAGGCUCCUGAAUCUAAGGAAAGUGGGGGGAAUAUGGCGUCUCUGCCUCUGGCUGCGGGGCUACACAGCUGGCAGCCGGCAGUAGGAGCAAUUUUGCAUCUGCUUUUUUACAGCCCAGUGACUGGGCAGGAUUUUAUGGCCAAUAGCAGUAAAAAUCUGGCAACUAUACAUUUGGAGCCCAGAAAUUGAAUCACCAAAACAAUCCAGGAAAAAAAAAAUAGAAAAGUGGUAGAAAUGAAAUUCACCCAAUCAUUAGAAAAUAAGACAAACGUAUUUUUAAAAUAUAGAAGUUUGGGAGAAGGGCAAAGUUUGGCUCUAAAACAGAAAGGGAAUUUUUUUAAAAUGCAAAAAGUCUUGGGGAAAGGAGCACCGUGGAGCAUUUCCAAAGCUUUAGGGAAUGAAUGAGACGUAUUUCAGAAAAACCCAAAAUUGCACAAUUGUUUUUUUGGAAUUAGUACAAGAUUAAAUUAGAGAUGUAAAAAUAAAGGAACACUGAAAACAGUGACUAAUUUCUCUGUAUUUGAAAUAAAUAUUUGCUUUCUUAAGGGAAGAAAAGAAAAAAGAAUGAAAAAAAUCACAAGUAUUCAAGGAGAAGACUUUUUAUUAAAAAAAAUACUUAUAGCACUAAAAACUAUCCCAAUAUUUAUUAACAUCCAGCUAAUUAAAAAUCAUGACACUAGAGGUCAGGCUCCUAAUUCUGAACAAAUUAUAUUUACUAUAUUAUCAUAUCAGUGAAGUUUAUAAGCAGCAGGUCCAUGAAGUCAUUGCCAUUAUUAUUUUAAUUAUUGGUAAUAAUGGUAGUAGAUGUUGCUUUUUAGUGAAGAACUAGGUUAGCAGAGUAAAAGGUCUGACCUAGAUUCUCUGAACUAUUGAGUGUCAAGAGUAUUUGUUCAUGUCAGAAGAAUUUUUAACAUCUAAAUAACUUAUUUAGAAGAGAAAUUUCUUGUUGAAUAAUCACAUUUUACUAGCCUACUCUCAAAGUUCAAGAAUUUCUCUCUGCCUAGUGUUUCUGAGUACAGACUCUGAUACUAGGAUUCCUGGGCUCAAAUCCUACCUGUUUCUGAUUUGUUGCCCAACCUUAGGCAAAUCACCCAUUCGCUGCGCCUGUUUCUUCAUCCAUAACCUCAGGGUGUUAAUAGCAUGUACUCUAUAAGGUUGUUGUGAAGAUGAAGAGAGUUAACAUAGGGGAGGAUCCUUGGAAACCAGGGGAGGAUCCUUUGAAGCCAGAAGUUUGAGACCUGUCUGGACAACAAAGUGAGACCCCUCAUUU